UUGAGGAUGAUGGAGCUGGGGUAUCUGUCAACUCACCGGUUGCCAGAGUCCAUGUGACUAAUAUGGCUGGCUUGAUGUUCUCUUCCUCACUCAUCACAUAGUGAGGAAUCCUCCUGAAAUUCCGUGCCUGGUCAGAGAGAAUGAUGUUCCCUAGUAGAGAAGAACUGUUCUUCAAUCAAAAGUAAGCUGUCACAGAACUCCCCUGCAAGAACCUUUGUACCAGUUAAACUAUUACUGGCGAAUUUAAGCAGAAAAUGAGGAUUAUUAUAAGGGUAGUGGGCAUAUUUUUAGAAGAAAAUGUAAAAAAAAAAUUAUGACCUUGGUAAUGAUGAGGAAACAUUUCUU
rnacentral:snRNA from 10 species